rnacentral:rRNA from 1 species
UACGUAGGGGGCAAGCGUUGUCCGGAUUUAUUGGGCGUAAAGAGCGUGUAGGCGGCCAGGUAGGUCUGCUGUGAAAGCUCGAGGCUUAACCUCGAGCUGUCGGCGGAAACCAUCUGGCUAGAGUCCGGAAGAGGAGAGUGGAAUUCCCGGUGUAGCGGUGAAAUGCGCAGAUAUCGGGAAGAACACCCGUGGCGAAGGCGGUUCUCUGGGACGGUACUGACGCUGAGACGCGAAAGCGUGGGGAGCGAACAGG